rnacentral:rRNA from 1 species
UACGGAGGGUGCAAGCGUUGUCCGGAAUUACUGGGUUUAAAGGGUGCGUAGGCGGCUUAGUAAGUCAGGGGUGAAAGGUCACGGCUCAACCGUGGAAUGGCCUUUGAUACUGCUGAGCUUGAAUCAGGAUGAGGUUGGCAGAAUGUGGCAUGUAGCGGUGAAAUGCAUAGAUAUGCCAUAGAACACCGAUUGCGAAGGCAGCUGGCUAGACCUUGAUUGACGCUGAGGCACGAAAGCGUGGGGAGCGAACAGG